GCCGACAUAGUUAUAAAUGUUUUAAUAAUAAUUUAAUAGUAUAUUGUUAUUAAUGAUUGGAUUGUAUUAAAAUCUUAUUAAAUUGUUUAAAUUGAACGGAAGGAAUUUAAAGAGUUAUUUUUGGAAUAUAAAUUUUGGAGUAUUAAUAAUUGAUAUAAGGCGAUGAUUAAAGGCAUAUUAAAUAGAUUAUGAAUUAUUUUGGGAAUUAUUAGUUUGGAUUAUUUUAAUUUGAGUUGAAUAUGUUUAGGUUGUGAAUGACGUUUCAUAUUUGAUAUCGUUGGCAAUUGAGGGUAAGAUUUGGUGGAGUGUGCUAUAAAUGGUUUGAAAGUAUCAGGUACGGAUUCCGUACUCUUUCAGCGACAUUCUUGUUAAAUUUGAUUUGUUCGUUUUGUCCCUUAUUUCGAAUUCUAUUAUGAUUUCACAUAAUUGUUUCCUGUGAAAUAAAUAUAUUAGUUUCAUUUUGGAGUUGAUACAUAUGACUCGUAUUUGUACUCUUUGAAUUAGGUUAUCAUGUUUAGUACUAUUUAUUUUUGAUAAUUGUAGAACGGUACAUGUUGCUACCUUCUUUUUGAGACCUUGUGACUAUUAUUUGAUUCGGUUCAACAUGUACAUAUAGAACCCUUUUGUUGCUAUUAUGUCGCAUGUGUUGUGACAUGGUAUUUUUGUUAGAAUAUACCGUAGCGUAUACCUGAGUUAUAACCACCUGUGGGGGUACCACAGGCAUGUCGUCUUGGCACGAGAGACAUGACAUUUUCCGUGGCGGUGUGAUUAGUCCACGGCGUCUCAGUUUUGGGCUCCGGAGGAAGUGGGCCGUUUGGUGUUUUGUUGUGGGAGGCGUAUGGGUUAACCCUAGUUUUCUGUUCUGCGGAUUGGUGAUGUUGUGCCAAACACACCUAUCCGAUUUGCAUACAUUUGGAUUCGCGGUCUAAUGUGUGAUUUGCCUGUGUGGAAUUAUUUU
rnacentral:lncRNA from 1 species